CACGUAGGGGGCAAGCGUUGUCCGGAUUUAUUGGGCGUAAAGAGCUCGUAGGUGGUUCGGUAAGUCAGGUGUGAAACCUCCAGGCUCAACCUGGAGACGCCACUUGAUACUGCUGUGACUGGAGUCCGGUAGGGGAGCGUGGAAUUCCUGGUGUAGCGGUGAAAUGCGCAGAUAUCAGGAGGAAGACCGGUGGCGAAGGCGGCCUGCUGGGCAGUUACUGACACUGAUGCGCGACAGCGUGGGGAGCAAACAGG
rnacentral:rRNA from 1 species